rnacentral:rRNA from 1 species
CACUCCUACGGGAGGCAGCAGUGGGGAAUAUUGCACAAUGGGCGCAAGCCUGAUGCAGCCAUGCCGCGUGUAUGAAGAAGGCCUUCGGGUUGUAAAGUACUUUCAGCGGGGAGGAAGGCGAUAAGGUUAAUAACCUUGUUGAUUGACGUUACCCGCAGAAGAAGCACCGGCUAACUCCGUGCCAGCAGCCGCGGUAAUACGGAGGGUGCAAGCGUUAAUCGGAAUUACUGGGCGUAAAGCGCACGCAGGCGGUCUGUCAAGUCGGAUGUGAAAUCCCCGGGCUCAACCUGGGAACUGCAUUCGAAACUGGCAGGCUAGAGUCUUGUAGAGGGGGGUAGAAUUCCAGGUGUAGCGGUGAAAUGCGUAGAGAUCUGGAGGAAUACCGGUGGCGAAGGCGGCCCCCUGGACAAAGACUGACGCUCAGGUGCGAAAGCGUGGGGAGCAAACAGGAUUAGAUACCCGUGUAGUCCCAUG